GGACGCGCAACUCAGGAUAACCCAUCACUGCAAACCCUCAGACACUGCCACACUCCUACAGACACCAUGCCUACACAAAUACGAUGCAUCUCCAUUAUCGCCAAAGGACUGAACUCCCCCAACAAGAGGCAUGGCAUUCUACGCUGGGCACAUAAACAACAAGCUGACAUAGUCCUCAUACAGGAAACCCACUUCACAAUCAACCGCAUGUUCCCCCUCACUAACAGAUACUACACACAGAGCUUCCAUGCUCCCUCCCCAGACACCAAGACCAAAGGUGUAGCGAUCCUUUUGAGAGCAAACAGCCCCCUCACAGACAUCACCUGUUCUAAAGACCCACAGGGUAGAUACAUCACAAUACAGGGAAAAAUAGGCACAACACAAUACGCCUUUUCAUCGCUCUACGCGCCCACAACACCAGACCCAACCUUCUGGCAACAAUUAGCGACCCACCUCAACACGUACUCAGCCACACGACUUACAGUGGGUGGGGACUGCAACGCAGUACACAUGCCUGCCAUAGAUAGGACUUCAAGCGCCAAAACACGAACUCGCCCAAACCAAAACGACGUCCUCUUCGCCCAAUUCCUGGCUUCCCACAAACUGAUUGACAUAUGGAGGGCGCAACACCCGACCACCAAAGACUACACCUUCUACUCCCACCCACACGGAUCCUAUUCACGCAUUGACCACUUUCUCAUUUCACCAAACUUACUAUCUCAAAUCACCAAAUCGGAGAUCGGACCUAUUUCCUGGUCCGACCGUGCCGAGAUAGCAAUCACUCUAAACCUACCGACCAUACACACACACUGGUCAUGGCGACUUAACCCAAUACUCCUUCAUGAUCAACUGAUUAGAGACAAAAUAGCUAUAGCAAUCAAAGAUUAUUUCGACUUAAACUCACCCACAACGACCUCACCUAUGACCCUCUGGACAGCACAUAAUGCAGUCAUCAGAGGCACACUCAUCAACCUAGCCACCCAUAAAAAAAAAAACCACAACGACAAAUACUAGAAACGAUGACAAAACUCCGCCGCCUAGAAACGGAACACAAAAAGAACCCUAACCCGACCACCCUGUCCAAACUUACGGCGACCAGAAACCUCCUUAACACCCUCACACAAGCAGACACAGCCAAAGCUCUGAUGUGGCUCAAACAAAAAUAUUAUGAAAAGGGCAACAAGGCGGACACCAUGCUUGCCCGCAGACUUAAAAAGCGAACUGAAGCUAAACGCAUUGCAAAGAUACGCGCGAACGAUGGUACCCUCACAGACUGCACAACUAGCAUAGGAAAAGUCUUCCAGGACUAUUACACGGACCUCUACAACCAUGACCACCGACCCCAUGACACCAGCCCAUCGCUGUCCACACGCAUAGACACAUUCUUACAAAGCACGACGCUACCCACCCUGACGCAAGAGGCCCAAGCAGCCCUGAGCCAAGACGUCACAACAGAAGAAAUGACCAUGGCAGUGGGAUCCCUCAAACCAAAUAAAAGCCCAGGACCGGACGGCUACACAGCCCUAUAUUACAAAGAAUUCGGCCCACUACUCCUUACACAUCUAUGCGCGGUCUUUAAUGCAGCACUCAAGGGAGAGAACCUCCCACCAGAAAUGACCGGGGCAAACAUCUGCCUCCUCCCAAAACCCGGCAAAGACCACUCUGAACCCGCACACUACAGACCAAUUUCCUUACUCAACGUGGACCUUAAAAUCAUGACCAAAAUCAUGGCCAACCGCUUAAACCCAUACCUAAGAUCCCUCAUACACCCAGAUGAAGUGGGAUUCAUCCCACAUAGGCACGCCGGGUACAACACCCGGAGAGCCGUUGAUCUCAUAUGGCUGGCUAACCACAGACGAAUCCCUACAGCGAUCAUCUCACUGGACGCGGAAAAAGCGUUUGAUCGCUUGCUCUGGCCGUUCCUCUAUCAGACGCUAACAUACAUAGGGAUACCACCCGAGUUUACCUCAUUCGUGCAUGCCAUCUAUCACUCUCCCCAAGGGGCACUUCUACUACCUAACAUCCCCCCACCCGAUUCCCCAUCUCAAACAGCACGAGACAGGGGUGCCCUUUAUCCCCCCUACUAUUCGCCAUAUCACUAGAACCUUUGCUGCAAGCGGUGCGUGCCAGCCAUGACAUAGAGGGGCUAACGAUCAGGGGAGAAACCUUUAAAAUCUCAGCCUACGCGGAUGACAUCCUGCUAACACUGACAAACCUGGAAAAAUCCAUAAACUCGCUCCUAACUCUCAUCCAAGAAUACUCAGACUUGUCAGGGUACAAGAUCAACCUGAAUAAAUCAGAGCUCCUCCCAAUACAAAUAGAUGCUCCAAACCUAGCUACACUCAAACAAAUAUGCCCGAUGAGGAUCUGCCACACAACGAUGACGUACCUAGGGAUCCAACAGACAUCACCACUCUUUAUAAAACAAACUACACUCCCUUAUUACAAAAAGCCCACUCUGACCUCACUAAAUGGAAAUCACUAGGGGGUCUUAUGGCUGGGACGCAUCGCCACAAUCAAAAUGAAUCUCCUACCCAGAUUCUUAUACCUAUUUCAAACCCUCCCCAUACCGAUCCAUAAACAAGACUUUAAGGCACUACAAACAGCCAUAGACACAUUCAUCUGGAAUGGACACAAACCCAGAGUACGCCGAAACACACUAUACGUACCCAAGAAACAUGGGGGACUAGGACUACCACACUUCACACACUACCACACGGCAGCACACCUAACGCAGAUACAACACUGGCACGUCCCACCAGGGGAAAAAAGAUGGGUGGACUUGGAACACAACAUCUUCGGUCGGGACCACCCGUCCCUGUACAUGUGGGUACCCAAACCACAUAGACCCCUACCCCCUCCCACCGCACCCUCAAUCACCCAUGCACUUGAUACAUGGGACAAAAUGAGGGACAAAUUUGAACUGUCAUCGUUCCUAUCUCCUAUGACCCCCAUAUGGAGGAACAAGCUAUUCCCACCGGGACUUACCCCCAAGCACUUCGCCCACUUUGAACACAGGGACAUUUCCCGUCUAGGGCAUUUGUACCAAGACGACGACAUUAUAAAAUUCUCAGAUAUCAAAGACUCAUCCUCACUCACAUCAUUCGAUCACUUUAGAUUCAUACAAUUGCGCAGCUUUGCAGCGACUCCAAUCAUAAAACAAGCCGGCACGGCUCAACUCAAUCGAUUUGAAAGAGACUGCAUUGCGCACCCCAACAGACAAGGACAAAUCUCCGACAUAUAUGCAACCUUGGCGACCCACCACACACAACUGUCUCUCCCAUACAUAGCGGCAUGGGAGGCAGACCUCGGACCCCCAGACGAAACAACAGAUUGGUCAGACAUCUGGGAGGCAACGGCCUCCAUCUCCAUAUGUGUCAAGCACACUGAGCAAGCCUACAAAAUGCUAUUCCGUUGGUACCUCACCCCCCAACGCCUGGCCAUCAUGCACCAAAUACCAGCCAACACCUGCUGGAAACAAUGCGGAGAGACGGGAACGUUCCUCCACUGUUGGUGGACGUGCCCGAAACUCCAACCACUUUGGCAAGACACCACACGCCUAAUCUCCAAACUAAUAGACAAACCUUGUCCCUUAGACCCUUGGAUGCUCCUACUCUCCAAGCCAAUAGACCAAUACACUAGAGCUGAAAAUAAGCUAUCCGCCCGCAUAGCCCUAGCAACACAUAGAGCCAUAGCAGAAGUCUGGUCAACAAACCGCAUACUGACACAAGAAACAAUUACCAAGAAGAUAAAAGAUGGCAUGCAAAUGGAUAGGCUCACAGCACAAAUACAUGACUCGCCCAAAAAAUUUCAAAAAAUAUGGGACCCAUGGCUGGAGGGAGACACGACCAUUCCGUGGUAACACGAUAGGAUAUUAACCGCCCCCCCCUAGCAUAGGGACCCACUAAUCGAGGAUAUCACACACCUCCAAAUAAGUACAACCCUCACCUAACCACAUAGCCCCAAACACCAACCUAGGACCCCCGAGAGGGACCCGCGCGCUGGGUAGCCCCCAUGUCCACACCGCCCUAUCCCACAACCCUUACCCUAAACCACUCCUUGACUCGGACAACGCUGCACCCAUACAUAGCGAGAUAGGACUCACAAAGAGUCGACGAGUGACAAAACCCAUCCCUUAAGAACGUAGAAACAACAGGGAACUUAAAUAAGCGUUCAAGGAAGAUACAAUGUUAAUAAAAUGUUGAUACGAAUGUAAGCUAUUUCCAAUAUGCAACAGUACCCUGCGUUGGUACUGACAUUAAAUUUGAAAGUACUAUUAAGUCUUGAACCACCCCCACCCACCCCUCCUUUUAUUUUCUGUACCCCAUUCCCCUCCCUCCUAAUUUCAAGGAGAAAAACCUAC